ACCCGCUGAACUUAAGCAUAUCAAUAAGCGGAGGAAAAGAAACCAACAGGGAUUGCCUUAGUAACUGCGAGUGAAGCGGCAAGAGCUCAAAUUUGAAAUCUGGCGCCUUUGGCGUCCGAGUUGUAAUUUGGAGAGGCAUCUUCGGGGUCGGCGCCGGCCUAAGUUCCUUGGAACAGGACGUCAUAGAGGGUGAGAAUCCCGUUCUCGGCUGGCUGUCCGUCCCCAUGUGAAGUGUCUUCGACGAGUCGAGUUGUUUGGGAAUGCAGCUCAAAAUGGGUGGUAAACUCCAUCUAAAGCUAAAUACUGGCGAGAGACCGAUAGCGCACAAGUAGAGUGAUCGAAAGAUGAAAAGCACUUUGAAAAGAGAGUUAAAAAGUACGUGAAAUUGUUGAAAGGGAAGCGCUUGAGACCAGACUCGGCCUGAGGUAUUCAUCGUCCCUUCUGGGACGUGCACUUGUCUCUGGUCGGGCCAGCAUCGGUUGCGGCGGCGGGAUAAAGAUCCGGGGAAUGUGGCUGCUCUCGGGCAGUGUUAUAGCCCCGGGUGUCAUGCCGCCUGCUGCGACCGAGGACCGCGCUUCGGCUAGGAUGCUGGCGUAAUGGUCUUCAGCGACCCGUCUUGAAACACGG
rnacentral:rRNA from 1 species